rnacentral:rRNA from 1 species
ACAGGUGGCGAAAGUCGCUUUUCCCGCAAGGGACAUUAGUCGAGGUGCUGCAUGGCUGUCGUCAGCUCGUGUCGUGAGAUGCUGGGUUAAGUCCCGCAACGAGCGCAACCCCUGCCUUUAGUUGCCACCAGAUUAUGCUGAGCACUCUAAAGGGACUGCCGGUGAAAAACCGGAGGAAGGUGGGGAUGACGUCAAGUCCUCAUGGCCUUUAUGUCCAGGGCUACACACGUACUACAAUAGGGCGGCACAAUGAGUCGCAAACCCGCGAGGGGGAGCCAAUCUCAAAAAACCGCUCUCAGUUCGGAUUGCAGUCUGCAACUCGACUGCAUGAAGCCGGAAUCGCUAGUAAUCGCUGAGGUCAGCAAGCAGCGGUGAAUACGUUCCCGGGCCUUGUACACACCGCCCGUCACAUCACGAAAGCCAGUUGUACUAGAAGCCGGCAAUUCAACCGCAAGGAGAUAGCCGUCCAAGGUAUGACUGGUGAUUGGGGUGAAGUCGUAACAAGGUAGGCGUAGAUGA